GAUAUUAAACCACUGUAUGGUGGGCAUAUUACUGUAUGUAACUUACUAUGCAUAGAGUACUUACUGACAAAAUUAUUUUUUGUACAUUCCAGAACCCCCUGAAUGAUGUAGGCUAUGGGGCCACAUAAGACUUUGUCCAUCCAGGGUUACAUUGAACGACAACUUUAAACUAAAGAACCCCCUGAAUGAUGUAGGCUAUGGGGCCACAUAAGACUUUGUGCAUCCAGGGUUACAUAGCAGGACAACUUUAAGCUAAAAAGCUACCAGACUGGGAUUUUAGUGUACUCCAGGAUCUACCAAAUACUACUACGAAGUGUACAGUGCAUAAUAUAGUGUUUAGUGUAUAAUCUAACCUAAGGAUUAAGUGUAGUACAUUGUGCUUUAUAGUGUCACAAGAGUUUAAUAAAGAAUUAUACCUUCAAGAACCAUCCUUUGCCAUUGAAAUAACCACACUACACAUCAUGCAAUAUACUUGCAUGUCACACAGGUAAGGUCUCUAACUUUUUCUUAGUUUAAGGCAUAUUUCCAAGUGUCGUUCCGGCUUUACGACGAUUUUCGGCUUACGACGCGCCUCAAGAACGGAACCCCCGUCGUAACCCGGGGACUGCCUGUAUUGUAGGUACUAGGUUGGGCUAACAUACACCAUGCUUCGGUAUGGCGAUUAGCUUA